AUACUUACCUGACAAGGGAGAUACCAUAAUCACGAAGGUCAUUUUCCCAGGGCAAGACUUACCCAUUGCACUAUGAUAUGCUGACCCCUGCGAUUUCCCUAAAUGCAGGAAAUUCAACUCCAUAAUUUGUGGUAGUGGGGACUGCGUUGGUGCUUUCCCCUU
rnacentral:snRNA from 1 species